GGUAACAAGAACCAGGGGAAACGUCUGUCAGGCUUACAGAUCACACUGCUGCCAGAAUCACGUUUCCAUGCCUCACCCGCCUCACCAUGACCUGCUGGAUGAACACCUUGGCCAUUCUAACUGCAAUCUGUGCUGUGUGUGCAGCAAGUAAAGAGACUGUUAAUCAAACGGAGCCCCAUGUGAUAAGUACUGAGGGAGAAACAGUCACUCUCACCUGUGAAUAUAAGACAACCAGUGCCAAACCUUACCUCUUCUGGUACAAACAGCAACAGAGUAAAAUGCCUGACUACCUACUGGGACGUGGAAGUUUUGGAUCUGGCCAUAACGGCACUGAAUUCAGUGAGAGAUUCCACUGCACCUUCUCCUCCAGCUCUGUUCCUCUGACAAUCAGGAAUCUGCAAGUGUCUGACUCUGCUGUCUACUACUGUGCCCUGCAGCCCACAGGCAAUCAUCAGGGAAUCCGAUAACAUCAAACAGGGCUGAGAUUACUACUAUGGAAAGAUCUAACACAAUCCUCUCCUGCAACUACUCUUCUGCAGUAACUCCUCAGUGGUAUCGUCAGUGUGAAGGAUCAACUCCCACAUUUCUAAUGAGUGUGUUCAGUGAGAAAGACGAGAUAUAUGAGGAAGAUGGUCGGAUUGUUGGUAGACUGAAUAAAGAGAAAACCCAAGUGUUCCUGGAGAUCUCCUCCACCCGAGUGUCAGACUCUGCUCUCUACUACUGUGCCAUGCAGCCCACAGUGAUGCAACACCCAGCUGCUCCAUACAAAAACAUUUGCAGUAGUG